rnacentral:rRNA from 1 species
CGCAGGCGGUCUUCUACGUCUGGGGUGAAAACCCGGGGCUCAACCCCGGGACUGCCUUGGAUACGGGAAGACUUGAGGAUCGGAGAGGCAAGGGGAAUUCCACGUGUAGCGGUGAAAUGCGUAGAGAUGUGGAGGAACACCUGUGGCGAAGGCGCCUUGCUGGCCGAUUUCUGACGCUGAGGCGCGAAAGCGUGGGGAGCAAACA